GUUACCAUCAUUAAGUUGGGUACUCUAUUAAGACUGCCGCUGACAAGGCGGAGGAAGGUGGGGACGACGUCAAGUCAUCAUGGCCCUUACGACCAGGGCUACACACGUGCUACAAUGGGUAUUACAGAGGGCUGCGAAGGUGCGAGCUGGAGCGAAACUCAAAAAGGUACUCUUAGUCCGGAUUGCAGUCUGCAACUCGACUGCAUGAAGUCGGAAUCGCUAGUAAUCGCAGGUCAGAAUACUGCG
rnacentral:rRNA from 1 species